UACGGGGGGUGCGAGCGUUGUCCGGAAUCACUGGGCGUAAAGGGCGCGUAGGUGGUUUGAUAAGGGUGUGGUGAAAGCCCGGGGCUCAACCCCGGGUCUGCCGUGCCGACUGUCAAACUCGAGGGCUGUAGAGGCAGACGGAAUUCCGGGUGUAGCGGUGGAAUGCGUAGAUAUCAGGAGGAACACCGGCGGCGAAGGCGGCCCUCUGGAUCGUUGCUGACGCUGAGACGCGAAAGCGUGGGGAGCAAACAGG
rnacentral:rRNA from 1 species